GACGAACGCUGGCGGCGUGCUUAACACAUGCAAGUCGAACGGAAAGGCCCUGCUUUGGUGGGGUGCUCGAGUUGCGAACUGGUGAGUAACACGUGAGUAACCUGCCCUUGACUUUGGGAUAACUUCAUGAAACUGGGGCUAAUACCGGAUAGGAGCUCCUGCUUCAUGGUGGGGGUGGGAAAGUUUCGGCGGUUGGGGAUGGACUCGCGGCUUAUCAGCUUGGUGGUGGGGUAGUGGAUGACCAAGGCUUUGACGGGUAGCCGGCCUGAGAGGGUGACCGGCUCAGUUGGGACUGAGAUACGGCCCAGACUCCACCGGGAGGCAGCAGAGGGGAGUAUUGCACAAUGGGCGGAAGCCUGAUGCAGCACAGCCGCGUGCGGGAUGACGGCCAUCGGGUUGUAAACCGAUUUCGCCUGUGCCGAAGCGUGAGUGACGGUAAUGGGUAAAGAAGCACCGGCUAACUCCGUG
rnacentral:rRNA from 1 species